rnacentral:rRNA from 1 species
AUUGAACGCUGGCGGCAGGCUUAACACAUGCAAGUCGAACGGUAACAUAAAGAAGCUUGCUUCUUUGAUGACGAGUGGCGGACGGGUGAGUAAUGCUUGGGAAUCUAGCUUAUGGAGGGGGAUAACUACGGGAAACUGUAGCUAAUACCGCGUAAUAUCGAAAGAUUAAAGUGUGGGACCUUCGGGCCACAUGCCAUAGGAUGAGCCCAAGUGGGAUUAGGUAGUUGGUGAGGUAAAGGCUCACCAAGCCGACGAUCUCUAGCUGGUCUGAGAGGAUGACCAGCCACACUGGGACUGAGACACGGCCCAGACUCCUACGGGAGGCAGCAGUGGGGAAUAUUGCGCAAUGGGGGCAACCCUGACGCAGCCAUGCCGCGUGAAUGAAGAAGGCCUUCGGGUUGUAAAGUUCUUUCGGUAGCGAGGAAGGCAUUUAGUUUAAUAGACUAGGUGAUUGACGUUAACUACCGAAGAAGCA